GCUCAGAUUGAACGCUGGCGGCAGGCCUAACACAUGCAAGUCGAACGGUAACAGGAAACAGCUUGCUGUUUCGCUGACGAGUGGCGGACGGGUGAGUAAUGUCUGGGAAACUGCCUGAUGGAGGGGGAUAACUACUGGAAACGGUAGCUAAUACCGCAUAACGUCGCAAGACCAAAGAGGGGGACCUUCGGGCCUCUUGCCAUCGGAUGUGCCCAGAUGGGAUUAGCUAGUAGGUGGGGUAAAGGCUCACCUAGGCGACGAUCCCUAGCUGGUCUGAGAGGAUGACCAGCCACACUGGAACUGAGACACGGUCCAGACUCCUACGGGAGGCAGCAGUA
rnacentral:rRNA from 1 species